rnacentral:rRNA from 1 species
GUCUAUGGCCAUACCGCACUGAACACACCCCAUUUUGUCUGAUUUUGGAAGCUAUGCAGAGCCAGACCUAGUUAAUUUGUGGAUGGGAGAGAGGAAAAAAAUGGAUGGGUGAGCCAGGGUCU